rnacentral:tRNA from 1 species
GGGCCAGUAGUAUAACGGCAGAAUUCAUCCUUGGCGUGGAUGGGAUCCGGGUUCAAUUCCCGGCUGGUCCA